rnacentral:rRNA from 1 species
AACGCGAAGAACCUUACCUGGGCUUGAACCGCACAGGACCAUCUUUGGAAACAGAGACUUCCCGCAAGGGACCUGUGUAGAGGUGCUGCAUGGCUGUCGUCAGCUCGUGCCGUGAGGUGUUGGGUUAAGUCCCGCAACGAGCGCAACCCUUACUCAUAGUUGCUACCCGCAAGGGAGAACUCUAUGAGGACUGCUCCGGAUAACGGAGAGGAAGGUGGGGAUGAGGUCAAGUCAGCAUGGCCUUUAUGUCCAGGGCUACACACGUGUUACAAUGCUCAGUACAGAACGACCCGAAAUCGCGAGGUGGAGGAAAUCACUAAAACUGAGCCCAGUUCGGAUUGUAGGCUGCAACUCGCCUACAUGAAGCCGGAAUCGCUAGUAAUGGCGUAUCAGCUACGACGCCGUGAAUACGUUCCCGGGCCUUGUACACACCGGCUAC